AUUGAACGCUGGCGGCAUGCCUUACACAUGCAAGUCGAACGGUAACAGGUCUCCGGAUGCUGACGAGUGGCGAACGGGUGAGUAAUACAUCGGAACGUGCCUAGUAGUGGGGGAUAACUACUCGAAAGAGUGGCUAAUACCGCAUGAGAUCUACGGAUGAAAGCAGGGGAUCGCAAGACCUUGUGCUACUAGAGCGGCCGAUGGCAGAUUGAGGUAGUUGGUGGGAUAAGAGCUUACCAAGCCGACGAUCUGUAGCUGGUCUGAGAGGACGAUCCGCCACACUGGGACUGGGAAACGGCCCAGACUCCUACGGGAGGCAGGAGUGGGGAAUUUUGAACAAUGGGCGCAAGCCUGAUCCAGCAAUGCCGCGUGCAGGAUGAAGGCCUUCGGGUUGUAAACUGCUUUUGUACGGAACGAAAAGCCCUGGGUUAAUACCCUGGGGUCAUGACGGUACCGUAAGAAUAAGCACCGGCUAACUACGUGCCAGCCGCCGCCGUAA
rnacentral:rRNA from 1 species